GAUGAACGCUGGCGGCGUGCUUAACACAUGCAAGUCGAACGAUGAAGCCGGAGCUUGCUCUGGUGAAUUAGUGGCGAACGGGUGAGUAACACGUGAGUAACCUGCCCUUGACUCUGGGAUAACUGCUAGAAAUGGUAGCUAAUACCGGAUACGACCCUCGGAGGCAUCUUCAGGGGGUGGAAAGAAUUUCGGUCAAGGAUGGACUCGCGGCCUAUCAGCUAGUUGGUAAGGUAAUGGCUCACCAAGGCGACGACGGGUAGCCGGCCUGAGAGGGUGACCGGCCACACUGGGACUGAGACACGGCCCAGACUCCUACGGGAGGCAGCAGUGGGGAAUAUUGCACAAUGGGCGCAAGCCUGAUGCAGCAACGCCGCGUGAGGGAUGACGGCCUUCGGGUUGUAAACCUCUUUUAGUAGGGAAGAAGCGAAAGUGACGGUACCUGCAGAAAAAGCACCGGCUAACUACGUGCCAGCCGCCGCCGUAA
rnacentral:rRNA from 1 species